CUGCAGCCAAUUAACCUGAUUACCUUCUCAUGGGGGCCAGUAUGUGAUGGCUGCAAACAGCAGCCUCCUCAGAAGUAUAUGCAGCUUGCUGGCAUGUAUAGACUGCAAUAAGGGACCUUGCCCACACCC
ensembl:snoRNA SNORA70 Small nucleolar RNA SNORA70